ACUGGCUUGUGUUCACUCGGAAGCAAAGGAAACGAGGAAGAGACCGGUCUGAAUUUGUCUAAUAGAAACUCUUGUUUUCAUGGGCAAAACACAACUGUUUGCAGUUGUUUGGACUAAUUAUUACUCCCUGUUUGCACCUACCUUAAAGGGACAAAUACGGGCUGGAACAGGUGUGGGCUUUCUCUCUAGCCAAAGCAACUCCACAGCUGGCUGGAACAGGUGUAGGCUUUCUCUCUAGCCAAAGCAACACCACAGCUGGCUGGAACAGGUGUAGGCUUUCUCUCUAGCCAAAGCAACACCACAGCGGGCCGGAACAGGUGUAGGCUUUCUCUCUAGCCAAAGCAACACCACAGCUGGCUGGAACAGGUGUAGGCUUUCUCUCUAGCCAAAGCAACACCACAGCUGGCUGGAACAGGUGUAGGCUUUCUCUCUAGCCAAAGCAACACCACAGCUGGCCGGAACAGGUGUAGGCUUUCUCUCUAGCCAAAGCAACACCACAGCUGGCUGGAACAGGUGUAGGCUUUCUCUCUAGCCAAAGCAACACCACAGCUGGCUGGAACAGGUGUAGGCUUUCUCUCUAGCCAAAGCAACACCACAGCUGGCUGGAACAGGUGUAGGCUUUCUCUCUAGCCAAAGCAACACCACAGCUGGCUGGAACAGGUGUAGGCUUUCUCUCUAGCCAAAGCAACACCACAGCUGGCUGGAACAGGUGUAGGCUUUCUCUCUAGCCAAAGCAACACCACAGCUGGCUGGAACAGGUGUAGGCUUUCUCUCUAGCCAAAGCAACACCACAGCUGGCUGGAACAGGUGUAGGCUUUCUCUCUAGCCAAAGCAACACCACAGCUGGCUGGAACAGGUGUAGGCUUUCUCUCUAGCCAAAGCAACACCACAGCGGGCUGGAACAGGUGUAGGCUUUCUCUCUAGCCAAAGCAACACCACAGCUGAUUCAACAAACACUGUAUUGAAGGUUAUGGUUAAAUCAAAGUGUAUUCGUCACGUACACAGUUUACAACUGGUGUAAACGGUGCAGCAUCAUGUAAAGCUCCUUCAACAGUGCUGUACAAUAUCAAUAUAAUCAACGUCAAAUAAUAAUAAUAAGUAGUAGGUAGAAUGUAAUAUAAUGGAUAUGUAUACAAUUGGGGCAGCAGGGUAGCCUAGUAACUGGAAGGUUGCAAGUUCAAAUCCCCGAGCUGACAAGGUACAAAUCUGUCGUUCUGCCCCUGAACAGGCAGUUAACCCACUGUUCCAAGGCCGUCAUUGAAAAUAAGAAUUUGUUCUUAACUGACUUGCCUAGUUAAAUAAAGGUAAAAUAAAAAAUCAAAUAAAAACAGAUGACUGUUUUUGUCUGGAGCAAAAGCCUUCACCCACAUAAGCUGGUUCAUCCCUGGUUGGAAAAUGAUCUGAAAUCACAGCUGUGUGUUUAUUAAUACAUCCCUUUGGUUGAAAUGCCAUUCUGUUUUUUAUACACCUUUUUAUAUGUGUAGUAACGUUCUCUCGC